rnacentral:rRNA from 1 species
GAGGGGCAGCGGGGUUGUAGCAAUACAACUGCCGGCGACCGGCGCACGGGUGAGUAACACGUAUGUAACCUGCCCUCUGCAGGGGGAUAAGCGGAAGAAAUUCCGUCUAAUACCGCAUAAUACAAUUUGGAGACAUCUCCGGGUUGUCAAAGGAGUGAUCCGGCAGAGGAUGGACAUGCGGCGCAUUAGCUAGUCGGCGGGGUAACGGCCCACCGAGGCUACGAUGCGUAGGGGUUCUGAGAGGAAGGUCCCCCACACUGGUACUGAGACACGGACCAGACUCCUACGGGAGGCAGCAGUGAGGAAUAUUGGUCAAUGGGCGGAAGCCUGAACCAGCCAAGUCGCGUGAGGGAAGACGGUCCUAUGGAUUGUAAACCUCUUUUGCAGGGGAGCAAGGCGCGGUACGUGUACCGCGAAGGAGAGUACCCUGAGAAAAAGCAUCGGCUAACUCCGUGCCAGCAGCCGCGGUAAUACGGAGGAUGCGAGCGUUAUCCGGAUUUAUUGGGUUUAAAGGGUGCGCAGGCGGACUGUUAAGUCAGCGGUAAAAUGUCGGUGCUCAACACCGGCCGGCCGUUGAAACUGGCAGCCUUGAGUGAGCGAGAAGUAUGCGGAAUGCGUGGUGUAGCGGUGAAAUGCAUAGAUAUCACGCAGAACUCCGAUUGCGAAGGCAGCAUACCGGCGCUCAAC